rnacentral:rRNA from 1 species
UUCGAAGAGUUUGAUCCUGGCUCAGAACGAACGCUGGCGGCGUGGCUAAGACAUGCAAGUCGUACGAUCCGUUGUAGCAAUAUGACGGAUAGUGGCGGACAGGUGAGUAAUACAUGGGUAACGUACCCCGGACACAGGGAUAGCGUCGGGUUCCGACUUGUCGGAAUCCUUUGCGAAAGUGACGGUAAUACCUGAUGAGACCACGGAAGGGAUGCCUUCUGUGCUCAAAGGGUGGGGACCUUCGGGCCUGCCGGUUCGGGAUCGGCCCAUGCCCUAUCAGCUAGUUGGUGAGGUAACGGCCCACCAAGGCGACGACGGGUAACCGGUCUGAGAGGAUGGUCGGUCACAUCGGGACUGAGACACUGCCCGGACACCUACGGGUGGCUGCAGUAACGAAUCUUCCGCAAUGGGCGAAAGCCUGACGGAGCGACGCCGCGUGCAGGAGGAAGUCCUUCGGGAUGUAAACUGCUUUUAGGGGAACGAAAACGCAGCGACCUAACACGUCGUGAGUUGAUCUACCCCAGAAAAAGCCUCGGCUAACUCUGUGCCAGCAGCCGCGGUAAGACAGAGGAGGCUAGCGUUGUUCGGAAUCACUGGGCUUAAAGCGCGUGUAGGCGGCCUCGUAAGUGCCUUGUGAAAUCCCCCGGCUCACCCGGGGAACGGCUUGGCAUACUGCGGGGCUUGAGGCAGGUAGGGGUCACUGGAACUCUAGGUGGAGCGGUGAAAUGCGUAGAUAUCUAGAGGAACGCCCGGGGCGAAAGCGGGUGACUGGGCCUGUCCUGACGCUGAGACGCGAAAGCGUGGGGAGCAAACGGGAUUAGAUACCCCGGUAGUCCACGCCCUAAACGAUGCGCACUAGACUCGAGCAACUCUGACGUUGAUCGGGUCGAAGCAAAAGUGUUAAGUGCGCCGCCUGGGGAGUACGGCCGCAAGGCUAAAACUCAAAGGAAUUGACGGGGGCUCACACAAGCGGUGGAGCAUGUGGCUUAAUUCGAAGCAACGCGAAGCAGCUCGUGUCGUGAGAUGUCGGGUUAAGUCCCAUAACGAGCGAAACCCUUGUCGUUAGUUGCCAGCGGGUCAUGCCGGGCACUCUAACGAGACUGCCGGUGUUAAACCGGAGGAAGGCGAGGACGACGUCAAGUCAUCAUGGCCUUUAUGCCCGGGGUUGCACACGUGCUACAAUGGGACGGUACAGAGCGAUCCGAGACCGCGAGGUGGAGGAAAUCGUUGAAAACGUCCCUCAGUUCAGAUUGCAGGCUGCAACUCGCCUGCAUGAAGUUGGAAUCGCUAGUAAUCGCGUAUCAGCUAUGACGCGGUGAAUGUGUUCCUGAGCCUUGUACACACCGCCCGUCAAGUCAUGGAAGCUGGUAGUACCCGAAGUCCGCUCAGCCAACCGCAAGGAGGCGGCGGCCGACGGUAAGACCGGUGACUGGGACUAAGUCGUAACAAGGUAGCCGUAGGAGAACCUGCGGCUGGAUCACCUCCUUUC